UAGGGAAUCUUCCGCAAUGGACGCAAGUCUGACGGAGCAACGCCGCGUGAGUGAAGAAGGAUUUCGGUUCGUAAAACUCUGUUGUUAGAGAAGAACAGCGCAUAGAGUAACUGUUAUGCGUGUGACGGUAUCUAACCAGAAAGCCACGGCUAACUACGUGCCAGCAGCCGCGGUAAUACGUAGGUCCCGAGCGUUGUCCGGAUUUAUUGGGCGUAAAGCGAGCGCAGGCGGUUAGAUAAGUCUGAAGUUAAAGGCAGUGGCUCAACCAUUGUAGGCUUUGGAGACUGUUUAACUUGAUUGCAGAAGGGGGGAGUAGAAUUCCAUGUGUAGCGGUGAAAUGCGUAGAUAUAUGGAGGAACACCAGUGACGGAGGCGACUCUCUGGUCUAUAGCUGACGCUGAAGCUCGAAAGCGUGAGUAGCAAGCAGG
rnacentral:rRNA from 1 species